CUCUUAACUUACAUAAAAUUUUAACCAAAUAAUUUUUUAUUAUAAACUUAAAUAAAAAAUUAAAUAAAAAAGUAUAAUUAUUAGAAAAAUAAAACUGGAAGCUAAAACAAGUACUGUAAAGGAAAUACGAAAAACUGAAAGAAAAACUUUUUAAAAAGAAAAACUUAAAAAUUUUACCUUUUGUAUUAUGGUCUAACAACAAUAAAAGGUAAAACAAACCUCUACCCGAAACCAAGGGAUCUAAUAAAACCCCAAUAUAAUGAUUGUAAAGUGUUACUGUUACAAAAGUAAACUAAGAGGGCUUAUUAGCCAUAAAAAAUGAAACGAACUUGGUGAUAGCUGGUUUUCUGAAUAAAUGAGUUUAAGCUCACGUUAUUAUAAUUUUUAUUAAAAAAUUAAAAAUUAAAUAAAAAACUAAAUCAAAAGGGAUAAACUUUUUGAUUAAAGGAAAAAGCCUAAAAAAAUAGUUAAAGUCAAAAAAAAUUUAUAAGAAAUAAAGUAUAGUAGGCCUAGAAGCAGCCACCUAAAAAAAAGCGUUAAAGCAUAACUUAUCAAACUAACAAUAAUUUUUGAGUAAAAAACUUUCACUCUUAAUUAAAUAACAGAAUAUUUACUUAUUUUAGUUAAAAAACAAUGUUAAAAUUAGUAUUUUAAAAAUUGAUUAAGUUGAAAAUAAACUAUUCUAACAUAUUUUAUAUUUAUGGAAGAAAUAAAAUGAUACCAUCAAGAAAAAAAUUUUUUUACUAGUUAACCCAACCCCGGAAAUCAAUUAAAAUAAAAAAAUAUUAGAAAGGAACUCGGCAAAAAUAGCCUCGCCUGUUUACCAAAAACAUCGCUCCUUGUUAAAUAACACUAAAUAAGGAGUACUGCCUGCCCAGUGAACUAAAACUUUUAACGGCCGCGGUAUCUUGACCGUGCAAAGGUAGCAUAAUAAUUUGCUCUUUAAUUGAGGGCUAGUAUGAAAGGCAAGACGAAGGCAAAACUGUCUCCCUAAUAAAAAAAGAAAUUAAUAUUUUAGUGAAGAAGCUAAAAUAAAAUCGCUAGACGAGAAGACCCUGUCGAGCUUAAGAAAAUCCUUAUUUAAAAAAAGAAAAAGCUAAUUUUAAAUUUAAUAAAAAUACUUUUUUAAAAUAAAUAAUAAAGAUAUCUUUGGUUGGGGCAACCUCGAAGAAAAAUUAACCUUCGAUUUUUAUAAAAAAUAAACAAAUUUAAAAAGCUUAAACUUAUAAAGAUCCGGAACUUUACCGAUCAAAGAAAAAAGUUACCGCAGGGAUAACAGCGUUAUUCUCUUUAAGAGCCCAUAUUGACAAGAGAGUUUGCGACCUCGAUGUUGGACCGGGGCACCCAAGAGAUGCAAAAGUCUCUAAAGGUAGGUCUGUUCGACCUUUAAAGCCCUACGCGAUCUGAGUUCAGACCGACGCAAGUCAGGUCAGUUUCUAUCUACGAAACAUAUUAAAGCAACUUUUCUAGUACGAAAGGAAUUUAAAGUAAGAAUUAAUUAUUAUAAUAAAACUCUAAAAAAACACUGAAAAAAAAUUAAGAAUGCUA
rnacentral:rRNA from 1 species